CCUACGGGAGGCAGCAGUGAGGAAUAUUUGUCAAUGGACGCAAGUCUGAACCAGCCAUGCCGCGUGCAGGAAGACGGCUCUAUGAGUUGUAAACUGCUUUUGUACGAGGGUAAACGCAGAUACGCGUAUCUGUCUGAAAGUAUCGUACGAAUAAGGAUCGGCUAACUCCGUGCCAGCAGCCGCGGGAAUACGGAGGAUUCAAGCGUUAUCCGGAUUUAUUGGGUUUAAGGGGUGCGUAGGCGGUCGGAUAAGUUAGAGGUGAAAUCCCGAGGCUCAACUUCGGAAUUGCCUCUGAUACUGUGCGGCUAGAGAGUAGUUGCGGUAGGCGGAAUGUAUGGUGUAGCGGUGAAAUGCUUAGAGAUCAUACAGAACACCGAUUGCGAAGGCAGCUUACCAAGCUACUUCUGACGUUGAGGCACGAAAGCGUGGGGAGCAAACAGGAUUAGAUACCCCUGUAGUC
rnacentral:rRNA from 1 species